UCUCUUCCCGAAUUCGCGCUACUCACGCUCCCCGGGAGCAUCUUCCGUGACUGUUGGAGCAGAGCUCACUUCUACUUUUUUAUUUUUUGUUUUUUUUUUUUUAAAGACAGGAUCUCGCUAUGUAGGUUAGGCUGGCCUCGAAAUCUCAGCGGUACUCCUGCCUCAGCCUCCCGAGUGCUGAGAUUACAGGCGCCAUCUCGCCGGCUCUACAUUAUUCCGACUGCACGAACCGAGGGAACUGCGGCCCGGCCUCCCCUCCCCCGCAUUACAUCACCUCCACCCCCUAGCCAACCUUCCCCAGGACCCCAGGCCACCGGCAGUCUGAGCGCCAGGGGGAUUUCCGGGCAGAAGAAGGCGGGGAAGAAAGCUUCCCUUCCCCGCGGGAUCCUGCCGGCCAGCUGUGCACCGCCGGAUCAUCCCCCGCAAACCCACGUGCUGCACGCGUCUGCGCCUCAGUGCUCCCGUGAUGUUGGUUUCCCUAGACCCCAGACGCAGGGGUUGCUACCGUGCUGGGCGAGUGAAGAAGGAUCCAGGGAAUCCGCUUCUCUGCCAGGGGCGGGGAGAGCCUGAGUUCGACUGACCGUCGAUCCUUGGAGCAGCCGGGUCUCGAUAAGUCGCCCAGCCCGAGCUCAAAUUCUCAUCCUUGUGCCUCAACCUCCCAGAGUGCAGGGAUUACAGGCAAGUAUCAACUUGCCCAGCUUCAUCUGCAUUUUAGACAAAAUAGCAAACAGUCGAUGCAAAGAAAAACACUGAUAGCCUGCCUUUCUCUAAUAGGGUUUCUGUAACAACAUGCCACAGGCUGGGCGGCUUACCCAGAAAUUUAUUUUUCCACAGACCUGAAAGCUGGAAGGCCAAGGUCAAGAAGCCAGGAGGGUCCGCUUCCUCUCAGGCCUCUAUCCUAGGCCACCAUUUGCUGUCUCUUCACAAAGUUUUCCUGUGCUCCUCCUAAAAGGACAUCGGUCAGUUGAAAUUAACCAGCUCUUUAUAGGACCUAUAUCUAAAUACAGUCACAUUCUGAGGUGCUUCACUAAGAGGAUUUUGAGGCCGGGGAUUUAGGGCAGCAGCAUAAGUGCCUGUCUGGCAAGUGCAAGAUUGUGAGUUCGAUCCCUGCUACCAAAAAAAUUAAAUUAAGUUAAAUUAAAGGAUUUUGAGGAAACAUAA